rnacentral:rRNA from 1 species
CCUGGCGGCCAUAGCGCGGUGGUCCCACCUGAUCCCAUGCCGAACUCAGAAGUGAAACGCCGUAGCGCCGAUGGUAGUGUGGGGGCUCCCCAUGCGAGAGUAGGACACUGCCAGGC